ACACUAAUGUCCACAUGCUACUAAGCUUUCUGUGCUGUCAAGGUUGAUCUUGAGAACGGGUCGGCAAAAGGAACCCAAAAGCAAUUUGCUAAGAAUGACGCGAUGAAGACUUGUGAAGUUCCUACCAGUGGCAAAGAUGCCAGGUUUGAUAAUUGGGAGGACGCUUCGUUCUCUGGUUAGCCAGAGAGGAGCUUUUGGUGGCUUAUUUAUUGUCAUUUCUAUUGUACGGAUUAUUCUUUGGGUUGUAAUUCAGAUAUUUUCUUGUGUCAAACCUUCUUAUCUUUCCAUUUUUGUCAUAGCGGUUUGUUUAGUUUUGUCUAGAUUUGUUUCGGG
rnacentral:lncRNA from 1 species